AUGACGGAUGAUGUUGAGGUGCCUGCUGCUGGUCCUCGUGGAUUCACUGGGAGUCCAUCUCUGUGGACUGUCGUGAUAAUAAUUCAUUGGAAGCAGCUGCCUGGGAGUCCAUCUCUGUGGUCUUGUACUAGAGUUGCUUGUAGCUUUGGGCAGACACAAAGCACAACAAAACCAUCAUUCCACGAGCAGAUCGACAGGACUGGGAAGGCAAGAGCUUCGCUCGACAAGUUUAGGACCAACCAACCAACGAUGAAGAGCAGCACGCUGGUGGCGAUCCUAGUCCUCCAGACCGUCAUGGUCAUGGGAAUCCUCUCACAGGCCGCCGCCAAAGAUAAUUUCCCCAAGUGCUGCGACAACUGCAACUCCUGGUCGGGGUACCAGUUCUGUGACGACGUCGGCCCCAGGUGCCGCCGCGGCUGCGCCAACUGCCAGGUGGUGCAGACGAGCCCCGUGAAGACGAUCCGGUGCGGAGAUGGACGCCCCGUCUUCGACGGGCGCGACACGCCCACGCCCUGCCCGCCGCCGUGCAAAAAGCACUGA
rnacentral:rRNA from 1 species